UGGGCAGGGACCCCAGAAGUCUGUCCGCCUUGGAUAAGGCACAACCUUCCACCAGUGACAGAAAGAUCAGUGGUUGCCUGGGGGCUCGGGGAGGUGGGAUGCAUAGCGCCGGGCCCAAGGGCACUUUCUGGGGGGUGAUGAUGGAAUGUUCUAGAUCUUGAUCCGGGUGGUGGUCACACACAGGUGUCCAAACUCAGCCCACUUUCCCCUUAAGACCUGUGUAUUUCACUGCAUGUAAAGACCUUAGUGAUUAAAAAAAAAACCAAAACCGUGUCUGUAACAAAGGGUCUGCUUUUUGGGGUUGGGGCCCACGAUCUCCUCUCUGUCUCGAGCCGCCCAAGCUCCCCAGGCAAAACAGAGGUUCUGUGCAAGUGGAAAGAGCCUCGCGCGGGGGCUCCUGAGGCCACCGCGCCCGCCUUCCUGCGGCAUGUCUGUCUUGUUAUUGCCAGAGGCAGAGAAUUGCUCCCGAGGCGGAAUCUUGAAUAUUCAUCUGAUUUACGGCCCGCUGCCGACAGCUUUAUGAAUCCGCCCACCAAUACCUGCAGCCAGUCAUCAAUCUUCCCCCGAGAUUGUGCCUUUGCCAGUAACUCAUGAAUUAAAGAGGCCCCCGGCGGCCCCCACGCCUCCCUCCCCUCGCGGCCAGGCGGGAUGGAAGGAGGGCCUGACCCGAAGUCAAAACACUGUUGUCGUCUUGCGGCGGAGGCUCUGGGUGACCUUGGAUGACUCACCCAGACUGUCUGCGGCGCGAGCAAGAGAAAACUUGGGAGCCUCAGGCCUGCAGGGAACAGAGGAGGCCAUCGCCGUAAAGAGCUGACAUUUAUUAGGCGCUUACUGUGUGCCAAGCUCAUUCGGAACACCUGACAUGCGCCCCUUCUGUGAACUCCCACUAAGAGGAAGGACCAAUCCUGCGAGAUGCCCGUCACAGACACACCCAGAGGCCACGGGAAGGUGCCAACAUCUCCAGCUUGCCGGCUGUCUUCACCCCAGCCUGCGAGGGCCAUUCUGACUUGGACAGCCAUGCAGACUCUCGCGGGCAGCUGGGAGAGAGGACGGUGCAAACCCCAGGGAGGGCCCUUCACACACACCGGGGGGAGGGCAGUGGGCUUCCAGCAGCUGGCAGCUUGGUUGCCAGACGGGACUUUGGGGCCUCUCAUUCCUGAGCAGUGCGUCUGAAAAACUCACAAAUUUCCUAACAUAACUCGGGGAGCCUUGAUUGUUAAUAAAACUGUCUCUUUA